rnacentral:lncRNA from 12 species
UGCCCAGUAACUAUUCCCUCUGUUGUCCCUUCAGGUCCAGGGGAGGUGAGGGACCCUGCAGGAUCCUUGGUUAGUUUCCUUAACCUGCCUGCACCUCUGUCAGCGGUUGUCAACUCUCUUCAUAAUAUGGAGGUUGACUGUGUCACUGCCCCCUUGGGGUCCCCGACUGUCAUUACAGCUCCAAGGACUCCACGAGGAGACCAGUUGGUGUGCUCAGAGGAAACAACAAUGACAAUACAACAAUCCCUCAGAUCUACAGAGUUUUCCAUUCAGCAAGAGCUUUCUCGGAUGCUUUCUCAUCACGUACCCCUCUGGACUUCAGUUUCUUCUUCUCUGAAACAAGGGCAUUGGACUCAAUGAUUCCCGAAGACUUUUCCCCAUCCAGGCUGUCCGUUGGUUCCAUUAUCCUAACAAAACCUCAGGGACAAGACUGGAGCUGGUGUCCAUUAGCCUCAUUUUAUAGUUGAGAAUACUGAGGAGCAGAGAAGGGAAGUGAUUUGCCCUACGUCACUCAGAGAACCCUGCCAGGGCCAGGUCUGGCAUGUAGUGAGGUGGGGAGAGGAAGGAGACACACCUUGACUUCUCAGGCAAGGAGAAAGGAGGCAGAGGUGUGCUUAGAGGCUGUUCCUGGGCCUGCCCUACCGCCCUGCAGGGGAGGGUGGCUGGUGAGCUCUGGGUGGUGCCGGGUGCUGUAUCCCUACGGCCUAGAACAGUGCCUGGCAUGUGGGAGAUGCUCCAAAAAUGCUGGUCAGUGAACACAUGAGCAGAUGGGCCUGGCCCCCAUGAUCUCAGGGCCCCCAAUCACAACGCCCCGUGGUGCUGGUGUGGGGCCCAGACACGGAGCCACGUAUGUACUGUCAGUAGAAGAUGCUGGACCGCGGAGGGUUCCAGGAUCAGAUAAAACUCCCGCACUUCUCUGGCU